GAUGAACGCUGGCGGCGUGCCUAAUACAUGCAAGUCGAGCGAACAGACGAGGAGCUUGCUCCUCUGACGUUAGCGGCGGACGGGUGAGUAACACGUGGAUAACCUACCUAUAAGACUGGGAUAACUUCGGGAAACCGGAGCUAAUACCGGAUAAUAUAUUGAACCGCAUGGUUCAAUAGUGAAAGACGGUUUUGCUGUCACUUAUAGAUGGAUCCGCGCCGCAUUAGCUAGUUGGUAAGGUAACGGCUUACCAAGGCGACGAUGCGUAGCCGACCUGAGAGGGUGAUCGGCCACACUGGAACUGAGACACGGUCCAGACUCCUACGGGAGGCAGCAGUAGGGAAUCUUCCGCAAUGGGCGAAAGCCUGACGGAGCAACGCCGCGUGAGUGAUGAAGGUCUUCGGAUCGUAAAACUCUGUUAUUAGGGAAGAACGAAUGUGUAAGUAACUAUGCACGUCUUGACGGUACCUAAUCAGAAAGCUACGGCUAACUACGUG
rnacentral:rRNA from 1 species